CCGCCAUCCCCGGGGAGCUUGUGCCCAGGCUUUCGAAUCCCGAAAGCCGGACGGAAACAAAUGGCUGAGAGGGGCAGGUCACGCUGCCCGACCCGUUGAACCUGAACCCGUUAACACGGGCGGAGGGAAGGGCGGGCCACAGGAC
rnacentral:ncRNA from 1 species